rnacentral:rRNA from 1 species
UACGUAGGAGACGAGCGUUGUCCGGAAUCACUGGGCGUAAAGCGCGUGUAGGCGGAUCGGCAAGUCUGCUGUGAAAGCUCCUGGCUUAACCGGGAGUGGUCGGUGGAAACUGCCAGUCUGGAGGACGGUAGAGGUAGGUAGAAUUCCUGGUGUAGCGGUGAAAUGCGCAGAUAUCAGGAGGAACACCGGUGGCGAAGGCGGGUCUCUGGGCAACAACUGACGCUGAGGAGCGAAAGCGUGGGGAGCGAACAGG